GUGACAAAGUGGUAGCUAGCCUUAUUAAGAAUGCUGGUUGCAAACUUGUCAUACACGUUUUGGGGCAUCAAGCUCAGAUGUGGGCUUGCGUCACCAGGAACAAAACCAUGAGAACGGUAAGGCCCAAAGCGAUCAAUAUAUGGCAAGUUGGGCCAGGAUGUUACAUCCAUUUUUGUG